GUAUUCCUGGGCGACUCUGCUCGUGUGGUCUGUGGAGUUGUGGAGGUCGCAGUUCUAGGACAGCCAUUUCAUAGGCCUCUGCUGCAGUGGAUCUGUUGGAGUUGCACACAGCGCAACGCGUCUUUGAUCAACACAAAUUGACACAAACCGAGCAACUUCUGAAUGUGACUGAAGUAAUCAACUGUUUAACGUCCAUUUAUGAUGUUUUGGAACAAAACCACAAGGACUUGGUCAAUGUGCCACUCUGUGUCGACAUGUGUCUGAACUGGCUGCUGAACGUAUUUGAUACCAUCGAGACCAAGCCAGACAGCUUGUCAUGCUUGUCAGCAGUCAUCAAUCAAAGGAGUGGAUGUGUUGCCGUUCAGCACCGUGAUAUGUUGAUCUCACACCCGCAGUAUGUGCCAGCUGCAGAAGCACAGAAGGCAUUGCAUUGUCUCCAACCACAUGGUCAUGCUUCAGGUUCCGAGGGGAAUGGUCUCCAGUCAAGCGAGGCAGUUUCAGGCAGCAGAUCGAGGGGUAUGAGUGGAAGAAUCAGAGUGCUUUCUUUGAAAAUUCGCUUGACGUGACUCUUCAAGGAUCAUCUGGAGGAAAAAUACAAGUAUCUCUUCAAACAAGUCGCUGAACCCACAGAUUUAUGUGACCAACGAAGCCUGAGUCUUUUGCUUUACGAUGCAGUCCAGAUCCCUUGGCAGCUGGGUGAGGUAGCUUCAUUUGGAGGCUGCAACAUUGAACCAAGUAUCCGCAGUUGCUUCCAACAUGGCCAGAACAAACCAGAGAUUGACGUUGAACGCUUUGUCGAGUGGAUGAGAUUGGAGCCUCAGUCCAUGGUGUGGCUGCCUGUUCGACACCGUGUGGCAGCUGCUGAAACUGCAAAACAUCAGGCUAAGUGUAACAUCUGCAAAGAGUACCCAAUCGUAGGUUUCAGGUACCGCAGUCUCAAGCACUUCAAUUCUGACAUCUGCCAAAGCUGUUUCUUUUCGGGGCGCACAUCAAAGGGACACAAGUUACAUUGCCCCAUGGUGGAGUACUGCACUCCGAACCUACCCCGGAAGAGAGAGCCCAGAGAAUUGCCAAAGCUGUCCGCAAACAGUCAAUAGAAGUGAAGGAAACUUGGGAGCAAUUGAAAACCCAUGCGAGCAACUGGCAGGAACAGGUGGAAAAGGUGUUGGAGAAACUUCAAGAACUGCAGAAAGCUCUGGAUGAUCAUGAGGCUCAUGUGAUAACAGCUGAAGGGGUCCGCACUGAUUGACAACCUGUGGGUGAACUGCUUAUUGACUCAUUGCAGGAUCACAUUGAUAAAACCACAAAUCUACCCCGGAAGAGAGAGCCCAGAGAAUUGCCCAAGCUGUCUGCAAACAGUCAAUUGACGUGAAGGAAAAUUGGGACCAAUUGAAAACCCAUGUGAGCAACUGGCAGAAACAGGUGGAAAAGGCGUUAGAGAAACUUCAAGAACCGCAGAAAGCUCUGGAUGAUCUUGAGUCUCAUGUGAUAACAGCUGAGGGGGUCCACACUGAUUGGCAACCUGUGAAUGACCUGUUUAUUGACGCAUUGCAGGAUCACAUUGAUAAAACCACAGGUAAGGACUGCCUGCAAAAUCUGAGAUUGGGUUUUGAAAGACAUCAACCUUUGCUUGCGAGAGAUAAUGGUAACUGCAGAUGCUAGAGAAUACGAGAUAACAAUGUGUGGAGCUGGAUGAACACAGCAGGCCAAGCAGCAUCUCAGGAGCACAAAAGCUGACAUUUCGGGCCUCGACCCUUCAUGCGAGAGAACGUAACGUUUUUAAAGAAGAAAUUGCCCCAGUCAAACAAGAAGUCAAAAUAUUAAAUGAUCUGGCCAGUCAGUUAUCUCCGCUUGAUGUCUCUUUCUCUCCAAAGAUUUCUCACCAGCUUGAUGACCUAAAUAUGAGGUUGAAAUUUAUACAGCAGCAGGAGGUGAGGAGGCAGAGACUGCAACCCUGAGGUCACGGAGGGAAGGAAAAGAGGCUCUUACUUGGAGAUUGAGAAGCAGGAGAGGGCACAACCCAGAGGUUUGGGAGUGGAGAGAGGCUGCAAGUUGGAGGUCAAGCCACCAGACUCAGAGUACCUGUUGGGACCAUCCAAAAAUGACUGAACAUUUUCACUCAUUAGGUAAGUAGAUUGAUAAUAGGACUCUGGUUCUGUGCCACUGUCAGAUCAUUGCGACUCCAAAAGGUACCAAAGUAAAUUCUGGAU